rnacentral:rRNA from 1 species
AUGAACGCUGGCGGCGUGCUUAACACAUGCAAGUCGAACGGAGUUUAGAUGAAAGCUUGCUUUUGACUAAACUUAGUGGCGGACGGGUGAGUAACGCGUGGGUAACCUGCCUUAUACAGGGGGAUAACAGUCGGAAACGACUGCUAAUACCGCAUAAGCGCACGGAAUCGCAUGAUUCAGUGUGAAAAGAUUUAUCGGUAUAAGAUGGACCCGCGUCUGAUUAGCUAGUUGGUGAGGUAACGGCCCACCAAGGCGACGAUCAGUAGCCGGCCUGAGAGGGUGAACGGCCACAUUGGGACUGAGACACGGCCCAAACUCCUACGGGAGGCAGCAGUGGGGAAUAUUGCACAAUGGGGGAAACCCUGAUGCAGCGACGCCGCGUGAGUGAAGAAGUAUUUCGGUAUGUAAAGCUCUAUCAGCAGGGAAGAAAAUGACGGUACCUGACUAAGAAGCCCCGGCUAACUACGUGCCAGCCGCCGCCGUAACAC